rnacentral:rRNA from 1 species
GCAUAACGCGAAGAACCUUACCAGGUCUUGACAUCCUAGAAACUUUCCAGAGAUGGAUUGGUGCCUUCGGGAAUCUAGAGACAGGUGCUGCAUGGCUGUCGUCAGCUCGUGUCGUGAGAUGUUGGGUUAAGUCCCGUAACGAGCGCAACCCUUGUCCUUAGUUGCCAGCGCGUAAUGGCGGGAACUCUAAGGAGACCGCCGGUGACAAACCGGAGGAAGGUGGGGGUGACGUCAAGUCAUCAUGGCCUUUAUGACCAGGGCUACACACGUGCUACAAUGGCAGGUACAGAGGGAAGCCAACCAGCAAUGGGGAGCCAAUCCCAGAAAGCCUGUCUUAGUCCGGAUUGGAGUCUGCAACUCGACUCCAUGAAACUGGAAUCGCUAGUAAUCGCAGAUCAGCAUUGCUGCGGUGAAUACGUUCCCGGGUCUUGUACACACCG